GCACAAGCGGUGGAGCAUGUGGUUUAAUUCGAUGCAACGCGAAGAACCUUACCUGGGCUUGACAUCCACGGAACCUGCUGGAAACAGUGGGGUGCCUUUCGGGGAGCCGUGAGACAGGUGCUGCAUGGCUGUCGUCAGCUCGUGUCGUGAGAUGUUGGGUUAAGUCCCGCAACGAGCGCAACCCUUGUCAUUAGUUGCUACAUUCAGUUGGGCACUCUAAUGAGACUGCCGGUGACAAACCGGAGGAAGGUGGGGAUGACGUCAAGUCCUCAUGGCCCUUAUAGGUGGGGCUACACACGUCAUACAAUGGAUGGUACAAAGGGUCGCCAACCCGCGAGGGGGAGCCAAUCCCAUAAAGCCAUUCGUAGUCCGGAUCGCAGUCUGCAACUCGACUGCGUGAAGUCGGAAUCGCUAGUAAUCGUGAAUCAGAAUGUCACGGUGAAUACGUUCCCGGGCCUU
rnacentral:rRNA from 1 species